GUGCCAGCCGCCGCGGUAAUACGGAGGGUGCAAGCGCCAAUCGGAAUUACUGGGCGUAAAGCGCACGCAGGCGGUUUGUUAAGUCAGAUGUGAAAUCCCCGGGCUCAACCUGGGAACUGCAUCUGAUACUGGCAAGCUUGAGUCUCGUAGAGGGGGGUAGAAUUCCAGGUGUAGCGGUGAAAUGCGUAGAGAUCUGAAGGAAUACCGGUGGCGAAGGCGGCCCCCUGGACAGAUACUGACACUCAGAUGCGAAAGCGUGGGGAGCAAACAGGAUUAGAAACCCUCGUAGUCC
rnacentral:rRNA from 1 species